ensembl:lncRNA
CACCCACCUACAUGUUUCCUAUAAGGCCCUGUUCUCUAAUAUCACAUUAUUUAGGAAGGUAUCUCUGUCUUUCUAUUCCUCACUUUUAGCUAGAUGUCUCCAAGCCUGUCAAUUUGUGCUUAUCUAGUUACUGCUCACUACCAUUAAAAUAUUGUGAGCCCAUUUGUCCUGGUGUUGGUGGAACAGUGAUUCAUUACUUUCCUUCACAAAAAAUAUUGUAUAUGCAUGAAAAUCACAUACAUCAUACAAAAAUCAAAAUUACAUUUUAAGAUACAGCUAUAAGUCUCCACUCUUUGCAUACUCAGUUCUGCUCAAAAAAAAUUUGGAGUCUCUAGAUAUAAAAAAUUAUAUAGAUUAAAAAUAGCUUAGGCAAAUAAACAAAACCUCAGAAAAUGGGGUUUAGUUUCUUCUCUUUGUGCAUUUGCUACAUUAGAUGGUCUUUAUAUAUUUUUCAUUGAGCAAAUUAGCAUAAAUAGAUAUCUUAUAAAUAGAAAACUAUUUGAUGCACCUGUGAUCAAACAUUCAACAGGAUUCAUCUCAGAAAAAUGCAGAUAAUUUGAGUAUACUCUAUUAUACUCAUAUUUUAUGAGCACUUAUAAAUAAAUACAAAGCAGUUACAUAGAAUACAAAUCACACUUUAACAUUUAGCAACACAAAGGAUAGUCACUAUUAUUGUUAUGCUAAAAUGUCUUGAGGCAGUUUAGAAACAUGGGGUGGUAGGGGGAGUUAUUCACAUAAGGCGUUUUCUUCAUUUUGUAUUAAUGGGAUUCCUUAGUUUUUGAAUGCCUCUGCUUUUAUCCAUUUAUACAAAUGUCUGGUGAGGUGGGUCAAGUAUUAUUAAAUAGAUAAUAAAAUGAGAAAAUGCAAAUCCAAACUUAUUAAAAUUCUCUUAAGUCAGCUUAAAGAUAAACAUAGUAUCUCUAAUGUUAAGUGUCUCAUUCAAACCACUUGACUAUACUGUUAACUAGUAUAUAUUCCCAUUAACGGCAAUCAUAAUGUCAUUUUUUAUGUCACUGUGUUUCCAGUAAGUGACAGCAUCAGUUCAAAGAACAAAAAAACAUUGAUUUCAAAUUUUCAGAGGUUUUAAGACUGAGAAGUUCUUUGAGUUGAAAAGUGAUCUAAUAAACAGUAAAAAUCUCAACUCUUCCAAUUUUUAAAUCAAACUUUACAUUAACAAAAAUCUUCUGUGUUAAUUUAACAGAUUUUAACAGCUUUUUGGACCCUUUUGGAGAGAUAAAGUUUGCUUAUUUUAAUGAGUUUUGUCUGCAUGGUUCAAAAACAGUAGAGAAGUGAAGACAAAGGUAAAAAAAGAGAUUCUCUUUGUUUUAGAAGAGGACUCUAUUAUGAAAUGUCAGAUUAAUCUGUCUUAACAGUGACCACUUAAGUCUAUCCUCAAAACAUUUCUAGUAUCAUUGAUAUAAGAAUUAGAAAUCUAGCCUUAUUUCCAGUGUAAAUGUCGACAAUUUUUUUUUUAAGGAAAUGUGUUGCAUUUCAUUUUUAAGGUUAUAUGAGAGCUUAUGUUAGGUAUAUUAAGACAUAAAAUUAUAUUUGUCAUAGUCUACACUCAAUCUUCCCAAAGGAAAUUUUCUCUGGUUUUCUAGAAUCUCUUAAACCUAACAUUCAAGUGAAAAUUGGCAAGAUGGCACUAAGACCAAACAAAACCAUUGAGCAGACAAAUGUGCGGGAUUUUGUUUACAGAUUCUUAAAAAUAAAUACUAGUUAAUUGCAAAUAAUAUUUCUGGAAAUUGAGGAUGGUUUAUAUGCUUGAAUGGAAUGAACUUGGAAAACCAAAUAUCAUUCCUGUAUCAUCCGUGCAUUUGCAUCUGAGACGUUAUGUUAAAAAAAAAAAAAAAAAACCUUUGUGUAUCUGAAUUGUUACAGAAUUCAUUUACAUUAUUUUUUUUUUUUCUGAGAAUUUGGGUUCUGGACUAAAUGCAAGCCCUGGAAAGUAAUUUGCAACAAUAUAGACAGUGAGAACUUGAAAGAGUCAAGGAGGAUGAAUUAACAAUCUGCCUCUACCAACCACCAAGACCAGGUGGAACAGAGUCCUCUGGGGGUGACAAUGUGGAGAGAUGACAACCAAGAGGCCAUUACAUGAUACCAUGGCACUAGGUACAUCUCUCAUCCUCUUAUCACUGACUUAAACACAAUCCCAGGGAGACAAGAAAAAUUGUAAAGGAGAAUACUCAACCAAAAUUAACACAAUUGACUGAGAUUUAAUUUCUUCCCCCAGUAGAACAAGGGCUCAAGGCAGAAAAUAAACUGAAUUACAGAAAAAUUAAUAAAAUAUAUUACUACUAUUAUUAUUACACCCUGAUUUUACAGCCUGAAUAUGAGACCAUAAGACCACAAGUUUUACACAGUGAUAUGCUUUCCCCAUUAGAUUACAAUCUCCUCUCUUGCCUUUCCCUCCCUGGAAUCUACUUUUUAGGUGAAU